GAUGAACGCUGGCGGCGUGCCUAAUACAUGCAAGUCGAGCGAACAGACGAGGAGUUUGCUCCUCGGACGUUAGCGGCGGACGGGUGAGUAACACGUGUAUAACCUACCUAUAAGACGGGUAUAACUUCGGGAAACCGGAGAUAAUACCGGAUAAUAUAUUGAACCGCAGGGGGCAAUAGUGAAAGACGGUUUUGCUGGCACUAAUAGAGGGAUCUGCGCCGGAUUAGCUGGUUGGUAAGCUAACGGGUUAGCAAGGGAAGGAGGCGUAGACGAGUUGAGGGGCGGAUCGCCCACCUUGGAGCUGGGCCGCGGACCAGACUCCUACGGGACGCCGCAGUCGCGUAUCUUCCGCAGUGGGCGAGAGCCUUGCGCAACAACCCCGCGCGAGUUGUGAAGGUCUUCCGAUCGUAAUGCUCUCUUAUUAGGGAAGAACAGAUGUCUCAGUAGCUGUGCCCGUCUUGACGGUACCUAGUCAGAAAGCCCCGGCUAACUACGUG
rnacentral:rRNA from 1 species